AUUGAACGCUGGCGGCAGGCCUAACACAUGCCAGUCGAGCGGAUGAAGGGAGCUUGCUCCUGGAUUCAGCGGCGGACGGGUGAGUAAUGCCUAGGAAUCUGCCUGGUAGUGGGGGAUAACGUCCGGAAACGGGCGCUAAUACCGCAUACGUCCUGAGGGAGAAAGUGGGGGAUCUUCGGACCUCACGCUAUCAGAUGAGCCUAGGUCGGAUUAGCUAGUUGGUGGGGUAAAGGCCUACCAAGGCGACGAUCCGUAACUGGUCUGAGAGGAUGAUCAGUCACACUGGAACUGAGACACGGUCCAGACUCCUACGGGAGGCAGCAGUGGGGAAUAUUGGCAAAUGGGCGAAAGCCUGAUCCAGCCAUGCCGGGUGUGUGAAGAAGGUCUUCGGAUUGUAAAGCACUUUAAGUUGGGAGGAAGGGCAGUAAGUUAAGACCUUGCUGUUUUGACGUUACCAACAGAAUAAGCACCGGCUAACUUCGU
rnacentral:rRNA from 1 species